GGAAAUGGGCCAUGUUUUACCUUUCAGGUGGCCACGCAGUGCUGGGUGAAUGCAGUUGUUUUGUCUUCGCUUUAAAUAUAGCGGGGAAUGGGCCUUAACUAGGCCAGGGUCCCUGUGAUGCAGCUGCAUUUGGUGCAAAUUUGCCAUCGUUUUGUCCCUGCAGGAUGGGAGUUUUAGCUGGGGUUGGCUGGAUCGAAGGUCAUUGUCCCUGCUAAUCCCCAGACCUUGGGGGGGAGGUGGGGCUUGGUUACAAUCGACUGGUGCAUAAUACUGACAGUUCAUCAACUAAGUUUAAACUUAAACAAGUUUAUGCCGUUAAUUUAAAAUAAACACAUUUAACAUACUAAGAGCCUCAUGCCUCUCAGCCUGAUGGAUCACAGCCAAAUUUAUAUUUCUCAUUAAUUAAGAAUAUGUUUGAUAACCAAAUAACAACUGUCAACAUUCAUUUUAGUAAUAAAAACAACCAUCAAAUUUAUUAUCUGUUAUUAAUAUUAAAUUAUUACUGUUAUUAAUAUUAAAAAACAAUACUAGUGGUAUACUGUAUAAUAAGUUCACUUUAUAUAUUUCUCAUAUAUAAAAAUGUUGCUACUUACCACAGCAUAAACCAAAAAUCUUAAACUGCAUCAACUUUCCUGUUUACAUCAAAUGAUCAGCAGAAGUAAAUCAUGUGUGAUGUAGCUGAUAAUCUGGGGCACCAAAGGGGAAAUUUCAAGUUGAUGACAUCAUAAUGUGCAUGACAUGCAGUAUUGAUGACAUCACAGAUUUUGGAACUCAGCCAAUUCUCUCAGGACAGUGUCUGCUGAGCCAGGCCAAAUGUGGAUUACCUGUCUUCACCAAAUCCUAUCCUGGUACAGUCUGAGCAUAGAAAUUUGCAGAUACCGACUUAUUGAGAACCAAGAUAUCUGGGAGUUUUCAACAGACAAGAGGACCUGGAU